rnacentral:rRNA from 1 species
UACGUAGGGGGCAAGCGUUGUCCGGAUUUAUUGGGCGUAAAGAGCUCGUAGGCGGUUUGGUAAGUCGGGUGUGAAAUCUCCACGCUCAACGUGGAGGGGCCACUCGAUACUGCCAUGACUCGAGUCCGGUAGAGGAGUGUGGAAUUCCCGGUGUAGCGGUGAAAUGCGCAGAUAUCGGGAGGAUCACCCGUAGCGAAGGCGGCACUCUGGGCCGGAACUGACGCUGAGGAGCGAAAGCCAGGGGAGCAAACGGG